UAAAAAGUCUUUAAAGGACAGAAUCAUGAGGACUUGGUAAAUGAUUGUAGGUGUUAGAGAAAGGAGACCAAGGAAGCAAUGAAGAUUGGGAGGGAUGGUUUAAGCAACUGAGAGACUGAUGGAUGGCAUUCACUGAAAUUCAGAGCACAAAUGAAGAUGCAGUUUGUGGGGGGCAUCAUGGAUUUGAGCUCAGAGAAAUAUUGCAAGGAAUAGAUGGCAAUGAAAACAAGCACUCUCAGAAGAAAGCCAAUCCACACCGGAGCACGGCUUUUUAAGACGGAUAUAAUUUGGUGAUGGUAUUGUGAUAUAUGCGGAUAUGACACCACCAAAUUCUGCUUUAAACAGAAGAUGGAGAAGGGAGUUCGCAUCUAUCAUAUACCUACCACAUGCACGUGUCUACAUCUCCUAAGAAAUGGAAGAACUCCCAGUCACAACGAGCCAGACCAGAUUCCCGCAGUCAUUCUGUUUAAUGCUUCGAUGGAGGAGAAUAUUUCUGAGAGCAAAAUACUACCUUCUCCCUGCCUCUGGGACUAAGGAAAUAAGAAUGGUGUUAUUUCUCUAACCACAAUCAUCUUUUCCUCACCCUUAGUGGAUCUAUGGAAGCUACUGCUUGGGAGACUCAUCUGUAUUAAAAAGAGCAAGCUUAUGCAUUGAAACCCAGAAUGUCUUACACCAUCAGCUGACUCACCAACCUAGUUCUCUCCUCCAUUCAGAGGAUAGAAUCCAUUUAACACCAUCUCAUUUAAACGUAACCCUAUUCUUUCCCCCACUUCCUAAGACUAUAACAUCUGAAUUGAGAAGUAUGUAAGGCUCACCUCCUUCACAAAAAGACAUUUGUAAUA